UAGUCCACGCCGUAAACGAUGUUCACUCGCUGUUUGCGAUACACAGUAAGCGGCUGAGCGAAAGCAUUAAGUGAACCACCUGGGGAGUACGAUCGCAAGGUUGAAACUCAAAGGAAUUGACGGGGGCCCGCACAAGCGGAGGAACAUGUGGUUUAAUUCGAUGAUACGCGAGGAACCUUACCUGGGCUUAAAUGUAGAUUGCAUAGAUUGGAAACAGUCUUUCUCUUCGGAGCUAUUUACAAGGUGCUGCAUGGUUGUCGUCAGCUCGUGCCGUGAGGUGUCGGGUUAAGUCCCAUAACGAGCGCAACCCCUACCGUUAGUUGCCAUCAGGUCAUGCUGGGGACUCUAGCGGGACUGCCACCGUAAGGUGAGAGGAAGGUGGGGAUGACGUCAAAUCAGCACGGCCCUUAUGUCCUGGGCUACACACGUGCUACAAUGGUCAGUACAGAGGGCAGCCACUACGCGAGUAGGAGCGAAUCCUUAAAACUGAUCUC
rnacentral:rRNA from 1 species